UGUGGUGCAGCACCGUCAGUACCGGAUUGACGUCAGGGUGAGAUGUAUAGAUCAUACAAUCAGCAACAUAACAUUGGUAUAGAUCAUAGAUGUAUCAACUUAACAAGGAUUGAACUAAAGUGCAGCAAUGUUAUUCUAACGUCAAACAAAACUGAAAUUUUACAUAGAAAGGUACAAAUGGCCGUUUACUAUACCUUUAAAAUUACUGUGUGGAUGCAAAAAUCAAUUAUUGAAGCUUUGUCAGUAUUUAGCUCAACUUUGCAUGGUCAAACUGAAUUGAUAAAACGCUGCAAAAGCUGUUUAAAAAUCCAUUAAAGUUUACUAUGUCAACGGAAGAUAAAAAUUUUCAAAAGAUGACAAUGAUUUGAUUGAUAUCAGGAACAAGAUAAAUUUAAGAACAAAACUUGAAAACAAACCGAAAGUUCUAAAACUCAUUAAAGGAUUAGACGUUCGCAUAUUUCGAUUGAAAUCACGAAUGAACAAGGGAUGCAUGAAUUAUACAAUCAACUAUUGUAUGGAUAAUAUUCGCAUGCUCUUUCAGUAGACAAGGAUUUCAAUGUUACGAAUUUUGCAACAAAAUAAAACAUAUGUGAUACACCAGGACAUUUCCUGAAUGUUUAUGAAAUUUAAACAUCGGUCAACUACUGCAGCUAUAAUUCAUCAUCAAAUGGUUAACAGUUUUACAGAUGGAUAUUACUUUUUCCCGAAGAUUACCAGCCGGGUAGCUUAACUGCAUGCGAAAUAUCAAAAGAUGAAUCUAUGCGCUGGAUGACACGUCGUCAUGGAUAAAAUGGUGUCAGUGGGGGUGUUGUCAAAAACACAACAACGCCGAAAGAAAUAGGUUUACUGUAGGUUCAUUUUA